rnacentral:lncRNA from 1 species
UUUUUUUUUGUGAUGCAACUAUAUGGGCUAGCACAAGGAAACUAACCUUCUCAGCCCGACCUCAAAUGAGCUCGGGUGAACAGUAAAAUUGGAAAAAGAAAUUGAACUUUUGGUGACAAACAUUGACAAAAGUUCUAAGAGCUUGCCAAAUUCAUCAUGAAAUCACAUUUGUGAAAAUCGUGGCAAAAGAAAAAAGAAAAUCAGGGCUCCAAAAUACUUUCGAAAGUACCAUUUUCUGAGUAUCAUUUUUUUGCCAUGACUUCCACAAAUAUGAUUUGAUAAAGAAUCUUUACCGACUCUUAGGUAAAAAAAGUCAGUUUAUUUUAUUUUAUUUUACUGUUUAUCCGAGCUCAUUGAACUCGGGCCGAGAAACUCCGCGGCCAGCUCUUUUUAUCACUCGCACCUGCAAGGAACACUAAACCCCAAUCAUUGGAGCCUUAAUAAAUGGGCAAAAUCCAGCCCCAAGCGAACCUGCCCGUCGUUGAUAGUGGUGUGAUGGAUGAAUUGAUGGUGGGUGCACUGCACCACACACCCUGGCUAAUUCCAUGUGUCCCACGGACCUGGGUACCUGACCGGCGUGCAGGCAGCGCUGCCAAACCCCUUACCUCGGCAAUAAAUCCCCUCGAAUUUCCACAUGACGGGAGCCUCAGUGUCUCAGAAGUCAGAAUUAAUUCAGGCAGGCAGGCGGGCAGGCAGGACAGGCAGGGGAGGGGUCCGGCACUCCGGCGUGGUACCGGACGGUGUACGUGCAACUCUGGCCUCUGGCGCUCGUCUCUUGCAAUUUACUUGGCUAUCUGGUUUUAAUCUCUCGAUCGGUCCAUCUCUAGCUUCGCGCUGCAUGCAUGUUAAUUCCCCAGACAUGUCGUGGUACGCCGGUGUAACAUUUAUUUUGUCGGUCAGGGCCGGCCGAUCGAGCGCGCGCGCGCGCGUACGUACCACGCACGUCCUUCCUCCUACGAGUCGUGCAUGCACGCAUGAUUGUUCGUCAAGUGCCCCUGCAUGCGGCCCACGCGCCCGCCCAUGGCCCGGCCAUGGUGCUGCCUUUCAUUUUCGGUUCGGUUACUGUGGUCCAAGCAGUACGUGGCCAUAUAUCCAUGUCAUGACCGUUUUUGCUGUAGCCACUUGCUCGACAAUACCGGCGCCAGUAUGGAGAGGUAUGUACAGUCUUUACAUACGUACGGAGUAUAUCAGAUUGUAAGAACGGUGCGUUUCACUCGCGAGAUUUUCUUUUCAAAAAGAAGAAUAGCACCCGGCCUCUGCAUCGGACUUGCUUCGCUCUCGAGAAAUGAACUUGUCUCAGCAAUUUGUGUGGGUCAUCGGAUGUAUGUUUUGUUUUACCGGACCAGCGAGCUACCGGGGGUUGCUCUGAAGGCGAAGCUUCAAGAGCGUAACGUGGUGGCACUAGUGGAUCGCUAGCUCACUGAGUAUGCAGGGCGGGGCAGCCGGCAGGGGCAUGCAGCCAGCCGGAGGUGGGUACGGCCGGCCGGUGGGGUGUUGCGCGCGGUCCUCACGGCCGGCCGUCCGCGGCGGUCGGUCGAGAUCUACGAGAGAUAUGUGCAGCAGCGCUAGCAGUUGGGCUGUUGGUCGAUGGAUCGGCACGCCCCGGCGUACCAGAACUGCGCGCCCCAGCAAUAAAUAGCCGCUCGCGCGCUAAAAUUAGCCGAAAUACGCCGCGGGCUGUUGAUCAGGUCCGGCCGGUGGGGCGGCAGGCUCCGGCGACACCGGCGGCAUGGCUCUCGCGCGGGCUGGCACAUCAUUCUUCCUGGUACUCCUCGUCCUCCAUCAGCCCACGCGCACGUCACGCGUGGAGAAUGGAGAUGAAGCCAAGGAUCACUCAGUACGUGUAGCUAUCUAGACUAGACUAGGCGCGGCCAUGACCAUGCAAUGGCCAGCCGAACGAUCGGCCCAGCAGCCAGCAGGAAGCCUGGUUCCCGUGCACCAGUGGCGGAGCUUGAACGGAAAAGUUGGGCGAGCCAGACUUAAGAAGAGCACAAUUUUUUUUCAAAUUCUGACUUAUAAGGACAUGUUACAAGCACCCAGGACACAAGAUUGAGCUAGCAUAUAUGUAUAUAUAUAAUAUAUAUGUAUCAAAGUACAGUUCAACCAUGAGUCACUAUUGAUUUAGCUAAUACAAAAGUGUCGAAACAUUAGACAUGGACUUACUCACAUACUAGAAAUCAACUCUCCGAUCCUUCGUGCUUAUAAAAUCUGCAAUGGCAUCUUCAUGACUGUAGUUCUCCAGAAUUCCACCCUCUAUGUGUACUAACAAGUUAUUAGCCAGAUUCUCAUCUUCCAUCUUAUUGCGCAAUCUUGUCUUAAUGAUCUUCAUACUAGAAAAUGCGCGUUCAGCACUGGCUGUAGAAACUGGAAGGGUAACGAGCAACCGAAGUAAUCUGUCAAUCAAAUUGUAGACGGUAUGUCUUCCUGUCUCCACAAGGCAUCGACAUAGAUCAAUUAAGGUAGAUAUGUUUUUCAAAUCAUCAUCCUUGGAAGCAUCUGAAACAAAGUGCUUAAGUUGCUGUUGUAAUCCAUAAAUAUCUUGGGGAAAAUCAGCUGGGUAGUACUUUUUCACCAUCUCACAUAUAUCACUAGCUUUGAAUCCUCUGAAUUUGUUUGUAGGAAUCAAGGUGGCGCUAAUGGUUAGAAGAUCCAUUACCUUAUCAUUGAAUCUUCGGCUUAAUUCAAAUAGUUGAGUGUCCAGUGUUGAGAAGAAAAUUUCCACUCGAAAGUAAUGCUCCUUGGUGAACUGAUCAGGUUGACGACGAGCACGACCACCACGCAUGAUGUAUGUUUCCUCAAAGUCUGGAAUGUCAAUGGAAUGGUUUACACAAAAUUCAACAACCGUAGUAAUAAAUACUUGGUAGCCAUCAUCUGAUCUCAACUCCUGAAGACAUUGUUUUGUUGAGGAAACUAGGCGGACAGCAUUCACAAUAUCUUGUGAUUUCUUUUGUAAAGCUUGGCCAAGCAAUUCUGUUAUUUCAAAGAUUUCCUUCAUCAAACAUAAGAUAAAAAUGAACUCAAAUGAGGACAAGUAGCCAAAAGAAGUGUCUGCAUCUGCACGAAUUGAGCCAAUUGAUCCAUCGGCGGCUAUAUCUUGGAUAACUGAACAAACUGGACCAAACAUCUUCAUAAGGCUAUAAAGUUCUCUAGACGGGGUUGCAUAGGACCUAACAUCAAAUAUGCUCUCCUGACGAUAUCUCUCUGGUCUGGUGGAUAUUGCCAAAUUUGAGGGCGCAAUCCAGGAUCCCGCUGCAAGAACUCAAUACCCCGAAAUGCAACAACUUCAUUUGUUCGAACUCCUCCAUCUUGGUUAUGUUGUUGUUCAGGUUGUUGCUGUUCCAAUUCAAGCAAGGGCAAUACUUGGUCUUCCUCAACUUCAAUUGUAUCAUCUCUUUUCCUUUUAAACACCAAAUCAAUUCUUUUCUGAGUCCGAUUUUCCUUGCCCAUG